rnacentral:sRNA from 1 species
UAAGGUUACGGGAGAGCUGAUGCAGCAG